GCAUUCUCAUAGAGCAAUUAGUUUAAACUUAACCAUCAGUGAUAGGAUUAUGAGUAUUUCAUUUUCUUUAUGCUUUUCAGUUUUCUAUAUUGACCCUGUGUUUUAGGAAUGAGAGGAAGAAAAAAUUUUUUCAGUCCAACCUAUGUAUCAACUACUGUUUUGUUCAUAGAAUGAUGCCGCUUGAUCCCGCAUCACACAGAAUUAGGGUAUAACAAUGCUGGGGAAAGAAAACUUCAAGUUGAUGUCCAAUUCCCUCUUUAUAUUUAUCAAGAUGAUCAGCCCUGCUCCUGGAGAACAUUAUGGCCAAAACUGCGGUCUUAGAAAAGAGAUUGGAGACAAAUUCAUUAAGGACUUCCUACCAUUUAUUAAAAGUUUGUCACCGGUGAAGGUAAACAGUUUGACAUGUACCUUGAUGUAAAAGAACACUUCCAAAACGUUAGUUAAAAUAAAAUUUUGGUAA